AAUCAACGCUGGCGGCGUGCCUAACACAUGCAAGUCGAACGCGAGAGGGGCUUCGGCCCCAAUUGAGUGGCGAACGGGUGAGUAACACGUGGGUGACCUGCCUUCGAGUGGGGGAUAACGUCCCGAAAGGGACGCUAAUACCGCAUGACAUCCUGCCUUUGAACAGGCGGUGAUUAAAGCUGGGGAUCGCAAGACCUGGCGCUUGAAGAGGGGCCCGCGCCCGAUUAGCUAGUUGGUGGGGUAAUGGCCUACCAAGGCGACGAUCGGUAGCCGGCCUGAGAGGGCGGACGGCCACACUGGGACUGAGACACGGCCCAGACUCCUACGGGAGGCAGCAGUGGGGAAUUGUUCGCAAUGGGCGCAAGCCUGACGACGCAACGCCGCGUGGAGGACGAAGAUCUUCGGGUCGUAAACUCCUUUCGAUCGGAACGAAUCGCUCGCGACCUAAUACGUCGCGGGAUGACGGUACCGGAG
rnacentral:rRNA from 1 species